AUGCCCCCCUUCCUCCUCUCGCUGUCCCUCCCAGCCCUAACCCUACCCCUGCCUCCCGCCCCCGCCCCCGCCCCUCGCCGCCACCGCGUCUUCGCGGCGCCCGCCUACGGGCCGCAGCCCUGCCGCGGCCGCGUCUGCGUCUGCGCCGCCUACAGGCCCCCGCCGCGGCAGCCCUACCGCCGCCAGCCCGCCCCGGCCCCGGCCCCGGACCCGCGCCCGCGCCCGUCCAAUGCGCCCGCGCCGCCGCAGCGCGACCCUCGGGGCCAGGAGGAGGUCGAGGAAGCGAUCUACGACUUCAUGCGCCGCUCCGACAAGCCCGGCGCGUUCCCCACCCGCGCCGAGCUCCUCGCCGCGGGGCGCGCCGACCUCGCCGCCGCCGUCGAGUCCAGCGGAGGCUGGCUCUCCCUCGGAUGGUCCUGGUCCUCCGACGACGACGCGCGGCGGCCGGCCGCGUCGUCGGCCGGCCCCGGCGUGCACCCUGACUACCCGCCCGAGGCGGGUCCUUCUGGCCGACCGCCAAACUCGGCGGCGGAUUCCGUAAGGGAGCAGCAGGAACCGACGCGGUCUGGGAGGCAGCCGGAGACGGAGGAGACAGAGGAGGCAGGGUCUGGAGCAGGCCUGGAGGGAAUGCUCGCCAGGCUGCGGAGAGAGAGGGAGCGUGCGCGGCCACCGCCACGCAGCAAGAAUCAAGCGGGAGGGCAAGGUCAAAAUGGCGCUUUAAUGAACCAUAAUGGAGCUCCUAGUCGAAGUCCAACUGAUGGCAUGUACACUCGAAGGAUACCUGUGAAUGGAAAUAUACAUCGCUCUCAUUCUCAAAAUGGAAUACCAGAGGCCAACAAAUCAAGUAGUUCGGCCAAUGAUGCAUGGCGAACAUGGUCUCUUGACAAGAGUCGGUUUUCUGAUUUUGAAGCCGCUGAGAUCCAUCCUUUGAGCAGAAAACCACCGAAACGUGCUGACCUGGACACUGUGUUGAUAGAAGAUGAUGUUCCCGGACCAUCUAAUGGUGUGGUUAUAAAUGAUUAUCCUAGUGAUCAUGUAGACUCUGAAAGAGAUGAGAUACAUGCACGUUUUCAAAAUUUGGAAUUCGAUCUUGCAGAUUCUCUUAAGACAUUAAGAUCAAGAUUUGAUGGAGUUUCGUCAUAUAUGUCAAAUGGCGAAGAAGCAGAUGUGGUAAACGGGUUCUCUGAUGAUUGGGAAUUUGAAGAGACAAAAGUAAUGCAUGCCCAGGAAGAAUUACGGACAAUCCGUGCUAAAAUAGCAGUAUUAGAAGGCAAGGUGGCGCUUGAAAUAAUUGAGAAGAACAAAAUAAUUGAAGAAAAGCAAACGAGGCUUGAUGAAGUUGAGAAGGCUUUGAGUGAGCUCCGCACAGUAUCUGUUGUAUGGCCCAAUCCUGCUUCAGAAGUUCUAUUGACCGGUUCUUUUGAUGGGUGGACAAGCCAAAGAAGGAUGGAACAAUCAGAAAGCGGCAUUUUUUCGUAUAACCUGAGGUUGUAUCCCGGUAGAUAUGAGGUAAUGGCGUGCUACUCUGCUUCCAUUGUCACUACUUUCACAUCAUCUGAUAGUGGGUGUUCGUUUGUGCUUCAGAUUAAAUUUAUUGUUGAUGGUGUUUGGAAGAACGACCCGCUGCGCCCUACCGUGAACAACCAUGGGAACGAAAACAACCUUAUGAUUGUCACUUGA
rnacentral:rRNA from 1 species